rnacentral:rRNA from 1 species
UCGAUAACGAACGAGACCUCGACCUACUAAAUAGUUCGGCGAAUUCUUCGGAAUUCGUGCGUAACUUCUUAGAGGGACUAUCGGUGGUUAGCCGAUGGAAGUUCGAGGCAAUAACAGGUCUGUGAUGCCCUUAGAUGUUCUGGGCCGCACGCGCGCUACACUGACUGGUUCAUCGAGCUUACAACCUUGACUGAUAGGUCUGGGUAAUCUUUUGAAAGCCAGUCGUGCUGGGGAUAGAUUAUUGUAAUUUUUAAUCUUCAACGAGGAAUUCCUAGUAAACGCGAGUCAUCAACUCGCAUUGAUUACGUCCCUGCCCUUUGUACACACCGCCCGUCGCUACUACCGAUUGAAUGGCU